rnacentral:rRNA from 1 species
AGAGUUGAUAUGGCUCAGGAUGAACGCUGGCGGCGUGCCUAACACAUGCAAGUCGAACGAAGCACUUAGACAGAACCUUCGGGUGACGUAUUGGUGACUGAGUGGCGGACGGGUGAGUAACGCGUGGGUAACCUGCCCUGUACAGGGGGAUAACAGUUAGAAAUGACUGCUAAUACCGCAUAAGCGCACGAUGGUAGCAUUACCAGGUGUGAAAAAACUCCGGUGGUACAGGAUGGGCCCGCGUCUGAUUAGCUAGUUGGCGGGGUAAGAGCCCACCAAGGCGACGAUCAGUAGCCGGUCUGAGAGGAUGAACGGCCACAUUGGAACUGAGACACGGUCCAAACUCCUACGGGAGGCAGCAGUGGGGAAUAUUGCACAAUGGGGGGAACCCUGAUGCAAGCAACGCCGCGUGAGUGAAGAAGUAUUUCGGUAUGUAAAGCUCUAUCAGCAAGGAAGAUAAUGACGGUACUUGACUAAGAAGCCCCGGCUAACUACGUGCCAGCAGCGGC